rnacentral:lncRNA from 1 species
AGAUAGUGAAACUCUGGGUUUGCGGGGAGAGACGUAACUUUCUGCUCCGCAGUGCGGACCCUCGAAGGUAGUUUGUGUACGGACGAGCCAUUAAAAGCUAACCUUUCCUGUUUCUGACUUGAGAUUUUUUUCGUCCACAAAGGAAGAGGAAGUGAUAGAGCGAAAACGACAUGAUUGACAAGAUAAGCAAAAACUGCAGAACCUUCCUUCUUGGGCAAGCGCCAUAGCCUCAGGAUUUUUUGCCCCUAAGGAACCAGACCACAGGCAGGUUAUGACCAGCACAUUCGCUAACCUAAUAUCUGACUUGAUAUACCACUUAUUUGAGGUAAUCUAGUAGCAUGCCCAGUAGUCCUGAGGGCCUAACAAACCAGCCUCUUAAUUCUGAUUAGCUGGAUCCCACAUUUUAGGGCAGCGUUGUUGAAGUGGUAGUUUAAACAUGUCUAUCCAGCUUUCCCCCAGAGAAUUACACAGUACAAGCUUCAUUUCCUCUCAAAAACUCCACUCUUUUACAUUUCUUCUUCCCACUUCUGCCUGGAAACAAGUUUAGGCAGAAUACAAAUGAAUCUCUGAACCGUCUGUCCUCAAGUAUCUAAGGAAGUUGUUCUCGCACAGAAGCGGAAUGUGGAAAUGUUUCUUUUGGCAAGGGGCUAGGGGAAAAGAAAAUAUGCUAUUAGUUUCCAUGAGGGAAAAACACUUUUAAGAAGGGGCUUGCUUGUUGAGAUGAGAGGAACAGUUCUAAAAUUCUCUUGAAACUUAGUUUGCUCCUGGGUUAAAAAUCACAUUACUUGAUCAUGGACCACAAAAGUCGUUCUAGUUCCCUUUUGGAGGGGUGUGGAAUCAGGUCUCUUUAACAUAGUGUUGGCUGUCCUGAUGUUUUUUAACGUUAAUUUGAGCGUGUGUAUGUGUCUGUCUGUCUGUCCACAUUAAGUGUCACAGCACUUAAUGUACACAGGAGGUGAAAGGACACAGUAUAGGAGUCGCUUCUCUCCUACAUCAGGCUUGUCAGCAUAGCACCUUUUACAGGUGAACCUCAGGUUGACCCUUCAAACCCUUGCUUAAAAAAAAAAAAUUACACUGAGGCUGGAGAGACGGUUCA